UACAGAGGUCCCAAGCGUUGUUCGGAUUCACUGGGCGUAAAGGGUGCGUAGGUGGCCGGGUAAGUCCGAUGUGAAAUCUCCGAGCUUAACUCGGAAACUGCAUCGGAUACUAUUCGGCUUGAGGGUUGGAGGGGGGACUGGAAUUCUCGGUGUAGCAGUGAAAUGCGUAGAUAUCGAGAGGAACACCAGUGGCGAAGGCGACUUCCUGGCCUGUUCUUGACGCUGAGGCGCGAAAGCUAGGGGAGCAAACGGG
rnacentral:rRNA from 1 species